GGCGGCGUGCCUAAUACAUGCAAGUCGAGCGAACUGAUUAGAAGCUUGCUUCUAUGACGUUAGCGGCGGACGGGUGAGUAACACGUGGGCAACCUGCCUGUAAGACUGGGAUAACUUCGGGAAACCGAAGCUAAUACCGGAUAGGAUCUUCUCCUUCAUGGGAGAUGAUUGAAAGAUGGUUUCGGCUAUCACUUACAGAUGGGCCCGCGGUGCAUUAGCUAGUUGGUGAGGUAACGGCUCACCAAGGCAACGAUGCAUAGCCGACCUGAGAGGGUGAUCGGCCACACUGGGACUGAGACACGGCCCAGACUCCUACGGGAGGCAGCAGUAGGGAAUCUUCCGCAAUGGACGAAAGUCUGACGGAGCAACGCCGCGUGAGUGAUGAAGGCUUUCGGGUCGUAAAACUCUGUUGUUAGGGAAGAACAAGUACGAGAGUAACUGCUCGUACCUUGACGGUACCUAACCAGAAAGCCACGGCUAACUACGUGCCA
rnacentral:rRNA from 1 species